rnacentral:rRNA from 1 species
UACGUAGGGGGCAAGCGUUGUCCGGAUUUAUUGGGUGUAAAGAGCGUGUAGGCGGCCAGGUAGGUCCGUUGUGAAAACUCGAGGCUCAACCUCGAGACGCCGAUGGAAACCAUCUGGCUAGAGUCCGGAAGAGGAGAGUGGAAUUCCCGGUGUAGCGGUGAAAUGCGCAGAUAUCGGGAAGAACACCCGUGGCUAAGGCGGCUCUCUAGUACGGUACUGACGCUGAGACGCGAAAGCGUGGGGAGCGAACAGG